UAGGGAAUCUUCCACCAAUGGACGAAAGUCUGAUGGAGCAACGCCGCGUGAGUGAAGAAGGUCUUCGGAUCGUAAAGCUCUGUUGUAAGAGAAGAACGUGUGUGAGAGUGGAAAGUUCACACAGUGACGGUAACUUACCAGAAAGGGACGGCUAACUACGUGCCAG
rnacentral:rRNA from 1 species